GCUUGGCUAACUCAGUCAGUAGAGCAUGAGACUCUUGAUCUCAGGGUCAUGAGUUCAAGCCCCAUGUUGGGUG
rnacentral:tRNA from 1 species